UACAGAGGGUGCGAGCGUUGUUCGGAAUUAUUGGGCGUAAAGCGCGUGUAGGCGGCCAACUAAGUCGGGUGUGAAAGCCCUCAGCUCAACUGAGGAAGUGCGCCCGAGACUGGAUGGCUUGAGUGCUGGAGAGGGUGGCGGAAUUCCCCAAGUAGAGGUGAAAUUCGUAGAUAUCGAGAGGAACACCGGUGGCGAAGGCGGCCUUCUGGACAGUAACUGACGCUGAGACGCGAAAGCGUGGGGAGCAAACAGG
rnacentral:rRNA from 1 species